UACGUAGGUGGCAAGCGUUGUCCGGAUUUACUGGGCGUAAAGGGCGUGCAGGCGGUCUGUUAAGUGCAGGGUGAAAGCUCCCGGCUCAACUGGGAGAGGUCCUUGCAUACUGGCGGACUUGAGGGGGGUAGAGGAAAGUGGAAUUCCCGGUGUAGUGGGUGAUAUGCGUAGAUAUCGGGAGGAACACCUGUGGCGAAGGCGGCUUUCUGGGCCCUACCUGGACGCUGAGACGCGAAACGUGGGGAGCGAACCGGGA
rnacentral:rRNA from 1 species